AUGCUCAAGGAGCAUCCAAAUUGGCAAGGAAGGGCUGUGCUGGUGCAGAUUGCAAAUCCUGCUAGGGCAAAAGGGAUACAUUUGGAUGAAAUACAGUCUGAAAUAGAGGAGAGUUGCAAUAGAAUUUCUAAGGAGUUUGGUAGACCUGGAUAUGAACCUAUCAUUUUUAUUCUACCGUUCUUUAUCAAUCAGUGAAAGAAUGGCUUAUUACAGCAUUGCCGAAUGUGUUGUGGUGACAGCAGUGAGGGAUGGGAUGAACCUGAUUCCAUAUGAAUAUAUUAUUUCUAGACAAGGCAUCACUGGUGCAGAGUCAAAUUUGAGUGGACCUAAGAAGAGCAUGCUAGUGGUAUCUGAGUUUAUUGGAUGCUCUCCUUCCCUAAGUGGUGCAAUUCGUGUCAAUCCAUGGAAUGUUGAAUCAACGGCGGAGGCAAUGAAUGAGUCUAUAUCAAUGUCAGAAUCAGAAAAGGAGUUGCGACAUGAGAAGCACUACCGAUAUGUUAGCACUCAUGAUGUAGCUUUCUGGUCUAGAAGCUUCUUACAAGAUAUGGAAAGAACAUGCACCGAUCACUUCCGGAAAAGAUGCUGGGGUAUCGGUCUUGGCUUUGGGUUUCGAGUGGUGGCAUUGGAUCCUAAUUUUAGAAAACUUUCUAUUGAUGAUAUCGUGGCUGCUUAUUCUAGGGCCAAAAGCAGGGCUAUACUGUUGGAUUAUGAUGGCACAUUGAUGCCUCAAAAUUUGAUUAUAAAGACUCCAAGCUCUCAGAUACUCUCUCUUUUGAACAGUCUGUGUGCAGAUCCCAAGAAUGUAGUUUUUAUGGUGAGUGGAAGAGAUAGGAAGAGCUUAAGCCAGUGGUUUCUUCCUUGCAAUAAGCUUGGACUUGCUGCAGAACACGGCUACUUUUUAAGGUACACCUAAUUUGUCUUCUUUCAUCAAUCUUUAGAAAUUGUAUUUCCAGUUAAAAACUGUGAUCUGGAUGUGAAAAGUCUCUACCAAACUCCUGAGCAGGAUCACUACUGGAAAGAAAUCAUAAUAAAGGCUUUAUGAAAUCUAGCAAAGUAUUAGCUGAUCUUUUUUGAUCAUUAUGGAUAACUUUCAUUGUGACAUAUCUUUUCUGAUUUUUUCUUGAACAUAAUCCCAACUGGAAUUAAUUGUCUUGUGUAAAUACCAAACAGGUUGUUUAAUCUCGUAAGGCUCUUUCUUGUGCAAGUGAUGGUCUUUCCAUAUAUUAACAACCACCAUAUGGUUAAGGCCUCUUGAUGUUUAUAGUGGUUUCAAUUAAAUGGCUUUUGAGACUUUCAGUUCUUCUGUUACUAUAAGCCUUUUCUAUUCCGACUUAUAUUUUACUAGACUUUCCAGUCAGUCACUAGUGGAUCCUAAGAUCCUGUUUUGCAGUAUUUGAAGUCAUAAUAAGUUUACCAUUUAGGCAGUCCUGUUUAAUUGCUUUUUCUGAUGCUUGAUGUCAUUCGUUGAAUGAGUUAUAGCGAUGGGAAAGAGGAUACAUAGUUUCAGCUUAGUGGGGAAUAAUAUAUGCUGUAUUUGAGUAGAGAUUUUAAAAACCCCCCGAUUACCCAAGAAGUUUCACUUAAGCAUACUUCAGAUUUAUGGACAGGAAUGAUCACUAUUUUGGUAUUUGGGUGACUGAUUUUCUUGCAUCUUUAUUAGUAGUAGUUCAAUCUUCUGCUGGUGGACUGCAUCCUGCGCCUGCACCUGCUCUAGUUUUAGUUUUUAUUUUGGAAGUGGAGGUUGCUUUUUGGUUUCAUUCUUGGUCAAGUUAAAUCAUGGGAUGACUGAGUUACACAUUAUGAUGCGACCAAAAUGUCCAAAUGCUUUUGAACUGCCAUGUCUAGAAUCUAGAUCCAGUUUGAUGACCUGUUUGCAUCUNGAUAGAGAACUAAAGACUUGAGGAGCUAAAGCGGCAGUUUGAAGGUAAGACCGUGCUGCUUGGAGUUGAUGAUAUGGAUGUAUUCAAAGGUAUCAACUUGAAACUUUUGGCUUUUGAGCACAUGCUCAAGGAGCAUCCAAAUUGGCAAGGAAGGGCUGUGCUGGUGCAGAUUGCAAAUCCUGCUAGGGCAAAAGGGAUACAUUUGGAUGAAAUACAGUCUGAAAUAGAGGAGAGUUGCAAUAGAAUUUCUAAGGAGUUUGGUAGACCUGGAUAUGAACCUAUCAUUUUUAUUCACCGUUCUUUAUCAAUCAGUGAAAGAAUGGCUUAUUACAGCAUUGCCGAAUGUGUUGUGGUGACAGCAGUGAGGGAUGGGA
rnacentral:lncRNA from 1 species